UCAGCACGAGGCUGGGCCACCACAGCCAAGUGUUUCAAUUCCUGAAGAGCUUCCAGAAGAAAUUAGUAUGUAAUGACCGCACUCUGCAAGAAGAAAGGCCCAUUAUGGCUCUCGCUGACUGUACUUGGCUUUCAUUUGCAAGCUAAAUGGAUGCGUGCGAAGAUACAUGAGGGUGCACAGCCAAAAGCGCUAAUUCGUGGCCCCGAGGGUGUUCAUUUCACGUAAUCUCAGCAUUCAGGGAAGGAACUGUUGCAAAUGAGAUGGGCCUUGCCGUGUUGGGUGACUGAUGCACUCCUACGUCCAGAUGGUACAGACAGGGCUCUAGAAACCAGCUCGCGCUCUGUCUGCCUGUCCCAUCGCUUCCUAUUCUGUGGGCCUUUUGUCAUCAGCAGACAUUGAGCUGCCAUUUAUAUUCAACGGACAC